rnacentral:lncRNA from 1 species
CAUCCUUGAGCUUGAGUGUGACGCACUGAGUGAUAGUAAGAUUCGACGCCGAGGUAGGAUCUGGAUUUGGUUCCAUGAUCUACUCACUGAACUCUGAUACCAUAUAGGUUAACAGAGAGAACAGAGCAAAGUCUCUUUCUUAAACUUGUAAGUUUAUUGCUUAACGUUCUUAUGAUACAUUGCAUGAUAUAUAAAGAGCAAACAGAGAAGGAUCUAGAUCCUAUACAGCUGUGACAUAAUCAGAUGGCAACGGAUAAGAGCGAAUAUCGAUUUCCCAGCUGUAGAGGAUGCUUUUCCGUACGUACCACACAACAACCUUGAGCUUUAGUUUUCACUAACGGUAACUCUUGUUUGUUUCUUUGCUGGUUACUGAUGGGCUUCACAUUUGCUUUCUGAUAAUGUAUCUGGGCCGUGCUAAUAUCUUCGCAAGGUUCUCAAUGUGAUGAAGAAGAAAUCUAUUGCGCUUCGCAAAGUUGACUCUAACAUUGGUGGCCACGUUGUCA